rnacentral:lncRNA from 1 species
GCAUAGGACUACCUGUACAUUCUUGCUGCCAUACAUCCUUUACUAUAUCAUGAAAUUGAGGAAACUCCAUGAUCCCAGUGUAGAAUCUAAAAGGCUUAGGAUGCAAUAGUUUCUGACUACCAAACCUUAUACAGAUUGGUGUGUGAUCUGAUACAGAAGGAUUUAAGAAUUCAGCUUCAAUGUGCCCAUAUUGCUGCACCC